UUGGAGGGCAAGUCUGGUGCCAGCAGCCGCGGUAAUUCCAGCUCCAAUAGCGUAUAUUAAAGUUGUUGCAGUUAAAAAGCUCGUAGUUGAAUUUCGGGAUCAAUAUUUCGGUCAUGCCGUUGGUAUGCACUGUUAUCAUUGAUUUCUCACCUUCUAAAGAACCGUAAUGCCAUUAAUUUAGUGUUACGGGGAAUUAGGACUGUUACCUUGAAAAAAUUAGAGUGUUUAAAGCAGGCUCACGCUUGAAUACAUUAGCAUGGAAUAAUGAAAUAGGACAUCCGAUUCCAUUUUGUUGGUUUCUAGGAUCGAUGUAAUGAUUAAUAGGGAUAGUUGGGGGCAUUAGUAUUCAAUUGUCAGAGGUGAAAUCCUUGGAUUUAUUGAAGACUAACUACUGCGAAAGCAUUUGCCAAGGAUGUUUUCAUUAAUCAAGAACGAAAGUUAGGGGAUCGAAGACGAUCAGAUACCGUCGUAGUCUUAACCAUAAACUAUGCCGACUAGGGAUCGGAUGAUGUUAACUUUUUAAUGACUCAUUCGGCGCCUUACGGGAAAC
rnacentral:rRNA from 1 species